rnacentral:rRNA from 1 species
GAUUAUGGCUCAGGAUGAACGCUAGCGGCAGGCCUAACACAUGCAAGUCGCGGGGCAGCACGGGUAGCAAUACCUGGUGGCGACCGGCGCACGGGUGCGUAACGCGUAUGCAACCUGCCCCCAUCAGGGGAAUAGCCCGCCGAAAGGCGGAUUAAUGCCCCAUAGGCCCAGGGGCGCCGCAUGGCGCUAUGGGUAAAGCUCCGGCGGAUGGGGAUGGGCAUGCGUGCCAUUAGCUAGUUGGGGCGGUAACGGCGCACCAAGGCGACGAUGGCUAGGGGGUCUGAGAGGAUGGUCCCCCACACUGGUACUGAGACACGGACCAGACUCCUACGGGAGGCAGCAGUGAGGAAUAUUGGUCAAUGGGCGGGAGCCUGAACCAGCCAAGUAGCGUGAAGGAUGAAGGUCCUAUGGAUUGUAAACUUCUUUUAUAGUAGAAUAAAGUGAUCCACGUGUGGAUUUUUGUAUGUAUACUAUGAAUAAGGAUCGGCUAACUCCGUGCCAGCCGCUGC